rnacentral:rRNA from 1 species
UCGAAUUCAGACAUUCUUGGUCAUUUAGAGGAAGUAAAAGUCAUAACAAGGUUUCCGUAGGUGAACCUGCGGAAGGAUCAUUAAUAAUGCUCUCUGGCUUCGGUCAGUUGAGUUCAAUGAGUGCCUUCUCUUCGGAGUUGGCCAUCCACACACACCGUGAACUGUGGCUUCGGCCAUCACAAACUGUUAGUAAUGAAUGUAAUAUCAUAACAAAAACAAAACUUUUAACAACGGAUCUCUUGGCUCUCGCAUCGAUGAAGAACGCAGCGAAAUGCGAUAAGUAAUGUGAAUUGCAGAAUUCAGUGAAUCAUCGAAUCUUUGAACGCACCUUGCGCCCUUUGGUAUUCCGAAGGGCAUGCCUGUUUGAGUGUCAUGAAACCUCACCCCACUUGGGUUUUUGCCUGAGCGGUGGUGUAUUGGGUGUUGCCUUGCCAAAGGCUCGCCUUAAAAACAUAAGCACCUUGGAUGUAAUACGUUUCAUCCUUCUGGGUGGCUGAUAACCCCACAUAUUCAUGAUCUGGCCUCAAAUCAGGUAGGGCUACCCGCUGAACUUAAGCAUAUCAAUAAGCGGAGGAAAUGUCUC